AGGCGGCAGGGUAGCCUAGUGGUUAGAGUGUAGAGGCGGCAGGGUAGCCUAGUGGUUAGAGUGUAGAGGAGGCAGGUAGCCUAGUGGUUAGAGUGUAGAGGCGGCAGGGUAGCCUAGUGGUUAGAGUGUAGAGGCGGCAGGGUAGCCUAGUGGUUAGAGUGUAGAGGCGGCAGGGUAGCCUAGUGGUUAGAGUGUAGAGGCGGCAGGGUAGCCUAGUGGUUAGAGUGUAGAGGAGGCAGGUAGCCUAGUGGUUAGAGUGUAGAGGCGGCAGGGUAGCCUAGUGGUUAGAGUGUAGAGGCGGCAGGGUAGCCUAGUGGUUAGAGUGUAGAGGCGGCAGGGUAGCCUAGUGGUUAGAGUGUAGAGGCGGCAGGGUAGCCUAGUGGUUAGAGUGUAGAGGCGGCAGGGUAGCCUAGUGGUUAGAUUGUAGAGGCGGCAGGGUAGCCUAGUGGUUAGAGUGUAGAGGAGGUAGGUAGCCUAGUGGUUAGAGUGUAGAGGCGGCAGGUAGCCUAGUGGUUAGAGUGUAGAGGAGGUAGGUAGCCUAGUGGUUAGAGUGUAGAGGAGGUAGGUAGCCUAGUGGUUAGAGUGUAGAGGCGGCAGGUAGCCUAGUGGUUAGAGUGUAGAGGCGGCAGGUAGCCUAGUGGUUAGAGUGUAGAGGCGGCAGGGUAGCCUAGUGGUUAGAGUGUAGAGGCGGCAGGGUAGCCUAGUGGUUAGAGUGUAGAGGCGGCAGGGUAGCCUAGUGGUUAGUGUGUAGAGGCGGCAGGGUAUUCUAGUGGUUAGAGUGUAGAGGUGGCAGGGUAGCCUAGUGGUUAGAGUGUAGAGGUGGCAGGUAGCCUAGUGGUUAGAGUGUAGAGGCGGCAGGGUAGCCUAGUGGUUAGAGUGUAGAGGCGGCAGGGUAGCCUAGUGGUUAGAGUGUAGAGGAGGUAGGUAGCCUAGUGGUUAGAGUGUAGAGGCGGCAGGUAGCCUAGUGGUUAGAGUGUAGAGGCGGCAGGGUAGCCUAGUAGUUAGAGUGUAG